rnacentral:rRNA from 1 species
UACGUACAAGCAGUGGGAGCCUCUUUUAUGGGGUGACUGCGUACCUUUUGUAUAAUGGGUCAGCGACUUAUAUUCUGUAGCAAGGUUAACCGAAUAGGGGAGCCGAAGGGAAACCGAGUCUUAACUGGGCGUUAAGUUGCAGGGUAUAGACCCGAAACCCGGUGAUCUAGCCAUGGGCAGGUUGAAGGUUGGGUAACACUAACUGGAGGACCGAACCGACUAAUGUUGAAAAAUUAGCGGAUGACUUGUGGCUGGGGGUGAAAGGCCAAUCAAACCGGGAGAUAGCUGGUUCUCCCCGAAAGCUAUUUAGGUAGCGCCUCGUGAAUUCAUCUCCGGGGGUAGAGCACUGUUUCGGCAAGGGGGUCAUCCCGACUUACCAACCCGAUGCAAACUGCGAAUACCGGAGAAUGUUAUCACGGGAGACACACGGCGGGUGCUAACGUCCGUCGUGAAGAGGGAAACAACCCAGACCGCCAGCUAAGGUCCCAAAGUCAUGGUUAAGUGGGAAACGAUGUGGGAAGGCCCAGACAGCCAGGAUGUUGGCUUAGAAGCAGCCAUCAUUUAAAGAAAGCGUAAUAGCUCACUGGUCGAGUCGGCCUGCGCGGAAGAUGUAACGGGGCUAAACCAUGCACCGAAGCUGCGGCAGCGACACUGUGUGUUGUUGGGUAGGGGAGCGUUCUGUAAGCCUGUGAAGGUGUGCUGUGAGGCAUGCUGGAGGUAUCAGAAGUGCGAAUGCUGACAUAAGUAACGAUAAAGCGGGUGAAAAGCCCGCUCGCCGGAAGACC